AAUAGUUCAGUUUAGGGUUUAAAACCCUAAUGCUGACUAGCUGGGGAGAAGUUCAGUUUAGGGUUUAAAACCCUAAUGCUCACUAAAAGGGAAAUGUUCAGUUUAGGGUUUAAAACCCUAAUGUUGAUUAAAGGGGAAAAGUCCAGUUUAGGGUUUAAAACCCUAAUGCUGACUAAAGGAAAGAGUUCAGUUUAGGGUUUAAAACCCUAAUGCUGACUAAAGGAAAAGAGUUCAGUUUAGGGUUUAAAACCCUAAUGCUGACUGAAGGAAAAGAGUUCAGUUUAGGGUUUAAAACCCUAAUGCUGACUAAAGGAAAAGAGUUCAAUUUAGGGUUUAAAGCCCUAAUGCUGACUAAAGGAAAAAGUUCAGUUUAGGGUUUAAAACCCUAAUGCUGACUAAAGGAAAAGAGUUCAGUUUAGGGUUUAAAACCCUAAUGCUAACUAAAGGAAAAGAGUGCAGUUUAGGGUUUAAAACCCUAAUGCUGACUGAAGGGAAGAGUUCAGUUUAGGGUUUAAAACCCUAAUGCUGACUAAAGGAAAAGAGUUCAGUUUAGGGUUUAAAACCCUAAUGUUGACUAAAGGAAAAGAGUUCAGUUUAGGGUUUAAAACCCUAAUGCUGACUAAAGGAAAAGAGUUCAGUUUAGGGUUUAAAACCCUAAUGUUGACUAAAGGGAAAAGUUCAGUUUAAGGUUUAAAACCCUAAUGCUGACUAAAGGAAAAGAGUUCAGUUUAGGAUUUAAAAUCCUAAUGCUGACUAAAGGAAAAAGUUCAGUUUAGGGUUUAAAACCCUAAUGCUGACUAAAGGAAAAGAGUUCAGUUUAGGGUUUAAAACCCUAAUGCUGACUGAAGGAAAAGAGUUCAGUUUAGGGUUUAAAACCCUAAUGCUGACUUAGGAAAAGAGUUCAGUUUAGGGUUUAAAACCCUAAUGCUGACUAAAGGGAAAGAGUUCAGUUUAGGGUUUAAAACCCUAAUGCUGACUAAAGGGAAAGAGUUCAGUUUAGGGUUUAAAACCCUAAUGCUGACUGAAGGAAAGAGUUCAGUUUAGGGUUUAAACCCCUAAUGCUGACUAAAGGAAAAGAGUUCAGUUUAGGGUUUCAAACCCUAGUGCUGACUAAGGAAAAGAGUUUAGUUUAGGGUUUAAAACCCUAAUGCUGACUAAAGGAAAAGAGUUCUGUUUAGGGUUUAAAACCCUAAUGCUGACUAAAGGAAAAGAGUUCAGUUUAGGAUUUAAAAUCCUAAUGCUGACUAAAGGAAAAAGUUCAGUUUAGGGUUUAAAACCCUAAUGCUGACUAAAGGAAAAGAGUUCAGUUUAGGGUUUAAAACCCUAAUGCUGACUAAAGGGAAAAGUUUAGUUUAGGGUUUAAAACCCUAAUGCUGACUAAAGGAAAAAAGUUUAGUUUAGGGUUUAAAACCCUAAUGCUGGCUAAAGGAAAAGAGUUCAGUUUAGGGUUUAACACCCUAAUGCUGACUGAAGGAAAAAGUUCAGUUUAGGGUUUAAAACCCUAAUGCUGACUAAAGGAAAGAGUUUGGUUUACUAACCGACACCCUUUUUUUGAAUUUUCUUGUUUUAGUAAAGGUAAAAGAGAAUUU
rnacentral:lncRNA from 1 species